GUGAGGAAUUUUCCGCAAUGGGCGAAAGCCUGACGGAGCAAUGCCGCGUGAAGGAUGAAGGCCUAUGGGUUGUAAACUUCUUUUCUCAGAAAAGAAUUAUGACGGUAUCUGAGGAAUAAGCAUCGGCUAACUCUGUGCCAGCAGCCGCGGUAAGACAGAGGAUGCAAGCGUUAUCCGGAAUGAUUGGGCGUAAAGCGUCUGUAGGUUGUUUAAAAAGUAUUCUGUCAAAGAUUAGGGCUUAACCCUAGAUAGGCAGAAUAAACUUUUAAGCUAGAGUUUGGUAGAGGCAGAGGGAAUUCCCGGUGGAGCGGUGAAAUGCGGAGAUAUCGGGAGGAACACCAAAGGCGAAGGCACUCUGCUGGGCCAAUACUAACACUGAGAGACGAAAGCGAGGGGAGCAAAUGGGAUUAGAAACCCGGGUAGUCC
rnacentral:rRNA from 1 species